UUGCUCCUCCGGAUCGAGUGGCGGACGGGUGAGUAACACGUAGGCAACCUGCCCAUCAGCCGGGGAUAACUGCGGGAAACCGUGGCUAAUACCGGAUAAUCCCGACUGUCGAUGGACGGUUGGUUGAAAGGCGGCCUUUGGCUGCCGCUGAUGGAUGGGCCUGCGGCGCAUUAGCUAGUUGGUGGGGUAAGGGCCCACCAAGGCGACGAUGCGUAGCCGACCUGAGAGGGUGAUCGGCCACACUGGGACUGAGACACGGCCCAGACUCCUACGGGAGGCAGCAGUAGGGAAUCUUCCGCAAUGGACGCAAGUCUGACGGAGCAACGCCGCGUGAGUGAAGAAGGGUUUCGGCUCGUAAAACUCUGUUGUUAAGGAAGAAUGACAGGCAGAGUAACUGCUGCCUGUGUGACGGUACUUAACCAGAAAGCCACGGCUAACUACGUGCCAGCAGCCGCGGUAAUACGUAGGUGGCAAGCGUUAUCCGGAAUUAUUGGGCGUAAAGCGCGCGUAGGCGGUUUUUUAAGUCUGAUGUGAAAGCCCCCGGCUCAACCGGGGAGGGUCAUUGGAAACUGGGGAACUUGAGUGCAGAAGAGGAGAGUGG
rnacentral:rRNA from 1 species